CCCACAGGAUGGGUGGCCAAACAGAGCUUGCCUGUCCCCUGCCUAUGGCUGUGUGUGACCUGGUGCUGAUAGCAGACCUCCUGCCUGCCUGCUCCCCUGUCCCUUCCCAUCUGCCUCCCAUCCCAGCAGGGAGGCUGUCUCAGAGACCAGCUGCAGAACACAACAUCUCCUGGCAAUGUUUUUGCUCCCUAGUGACUCACUGCAUUUUGCACAUGAUGGUAUGGGAUAAUCUGUCACCUCAAAUCCUACUAGUUCUGCACGAUGGCUUUUAUGCAAUCAGUGGGUACUUUUACCCUCACUCUUCCAAACAUGAAUGUAAGGUCCAGCUUGACUCCCCCAUACGUACACUUUGUUUUUAAAGAAAGCAGCUGUGUUGUCCUUCAUGAAAACAGCUCGUAAUUUAGCAUUACUGCAUUAUAUCCCCUUGGCAACGCUUUCUGUCUUCAGGACAUAUAUUUAUCACAGACAUCACUGUAUCUCUAUGGUGCUUUAGUUUUCCAUCAAGGGAAGCUAAAAGAGCAUUUCAUUCCAUAAAGCUUUGAUUGAUCUUUUCCGCAACGUUCCUCUGGUACUUCUCGCAGUGCCUCUUUCUGCCAAACAGGAUUUUUUCCUCCUUUCUUGAUCAUGCGCAAGUCUGAGCUAAUCUCCACAGUGCGAGCUUGAUCUGCUGUCUACCAGUGCCCAUUUUUGUGCCAGGCAGAACAACUUCUUCAGUCAGCUCUUCAGCCCUGAUGAGCUCCAGCAGCCAGUGGCUCUUAGCCUCACCCAGAAGCUCCCAAGGAUGCUCCUGCUGGUGCCCACUCCUGAGAUUCCUAGCUUAGUCUUCUGAUUAGGGGAUACAGUCUGCUGCCAUGCUUCCCAAACCUAUUUGAUCAGCUCACGCAGCCUGAGAAAAAGCAAGCAAAGAAGAAGUAGGAAUGCAAAUUUUUAGAGAAAUCUUUCAAAUUCCACAGUAAUUGGCAAGGGCUGCUCUCACCUUGAGGAAGGACAGACUGUGCACCCAGUUCUGUGCUAAUGGGAAGUUUAAACUUCGUGCAUCACAACUUCAUGCAGCAUGCUUCUCCUCUGCGCAGCGGGAGCUCCAGCAGCUGGGGAUGCAGGACGCGGGGCUGGCAGCAGCUAUUUCUGCUGCCGCUUCCUGUCCUUGACCCAGCGAUACAUUGUGAACUUCUCCCCAGCUGAUGGAUCCUUCAGUGUCUCUGUCUGAGUCACAACGUUUAUUCCUUGCUAUCUGCAGUUGAAGAAUUAAUACACAGAGCCAGCACAUUUAAGCAUGAGCAUAUGGAUUCUGAAGAUGAGUAUAAGCAAAGGUCCUGAUUUUUUAAAAGCACUGUGCAGGAUGUUCAUUAUAGUGGUGGCUCAGUGGCUGAAGGCAUGCUGCACACUAAUUUCUUUCCAUGCAGAGUUACAAAAUCGGCUAGCUGAUUAAACAGUGGUCAACAUCAAUUCAGAGAUUUUAUUAAGCAUUCAUGUCUUUUUUUCUAACUAAAGGCCUUAGGAUGGAAUAGACAUGAAAUUAAUAGAAGAAAUAAAUUGCAAUACUUUACUUAUCAGUGUUUAUUUUUGCCAAAGCUUUGGGUUUUAGUUGUAGCUGAUGACCCUGUUUAAUUCUCAGGUAGUCAAGGUGGAAGGGCCACUUAAUUGAACCUCCACCAACACAGGGAGAAAUUUGGAAUAUGAGGCUCUUCUGAAAGCUCUACUUUUACAAAUUAAGUGUGGGGUUUUGUGUGUAAGAUUUUAUUAUGCCAGCAAGACAGGAACCAGUAAAUUGUGUCCAAAAAGGAUAUUAAUGUAAUAUUCUAAGGUUAACUGAACCCAAAUUUCUCUAGGAGCAAAAUGGUUCCUAUGAGGAAAUGGCCAGGUAAAAGAUAUGUAGUGAAAGACUUAAAAUUUUAGAAGAUUGUAACAUUUUUCAUGGUUGUAGAGAACAAAAAGGGAGUUCUGCACCAUUAUUUGUUGUGUUGUAGAGGGUUGUACUGUUAGUUCAAAUUUAAUCCCGAACUGCGUUCAGCUAUAUACGGGUAGUGACCACAGAGUUAUAAGCCAUCAGAGCAGCAAAAGAUAGGAGAGAAAUAAACUACUGACUGCAAUUGCCCCUUUGUAAAAGAACAGGAAUGUUGAGAGGGGAGGGAAGGAGUUUCCUUGUCUCUGGUGGUUUAUUAUUCUCUGGGAACAGGUAAACCAACACUGGCUCAUGAAGAUACUUUAGAAUAGGAAAUGUUUUGCCUUUGAAAUGCGCGAGAUUACAAGUCAUUUCAAAUAGUGUUCAUGGCGAAGAUACCCCUGGGACCACCUUACAAGAGCUUUAUUUCUUGCCUGCAAAUUAGUCAGUUCAAAACACUUCACCUCUCAUCUCUGCCUUCAGCUCUUAAUAUCACACACGGUAUUUGUAAAAUGGAGGAUAAGAAUGAAAAGACCCUGAAUACAAAAGUGCAAUUAAAAAAAAUAAAAAUAGAAGACUGUAAAGGCGAGAACAUGUCUCAUUUCAGAGGACAAGAAUGAAAUUUUGUUGCUUUUUUGGAGGCAUUUCAAUAAGCUUUCCUUUUUUAUUUGCAGCAGGGUCUCAUUGAAACAGCGAUGUUUUCCAAGUGGCAGACAGACAAUAGCAUCUAAAUUAUUUUUAAGAAAGCACUCAUAGCAAUAGAGCACCCAUUACUACUAAAUCCAUCUUAGAGGAGAAGGGUGGAGGAAAAGGAAAGGUCAAUAAAUGUAUCGUGUUCUUUGUGUAAUGCUUAACUGAUAUUUUCCAACUCCUUUAGCCGGCUUUUAUUUUAUUUUUUUUAGGAAUCCUUGUAAAAUUCAGGAAAGGAUUUAAGGUUAUCAUCUGUCUCUCCCUAACUUCUGACAUCUCUUUAUAACAAGAAAGAGUCACAGCCAACUGUAACAGGAGGGCAACACAAUGAAUCCUGGUGCAGAAGAAGCCGUGGAUGCCUCAGUUAUGCUCAGUUAUGCCUGGUUUAUUACCGAUGAAAGUAAUGGGGUGGAGUUGCAGACGCUGGUGAAGGAAAAGCAGCUACAGUGCAAUGUUUGCAAAGCAAGCUUUCUCUAGAAGGAAUAUGUACAUGCAGCGGCAGCACUUGGGGUAUGAAGAGCUACUUUGAAAGCAGAAGCAGUUGCCAGUGUUUGAGGUGUGGAUGGCAAGUGAGAAAAUCAGCUGUUCCUGCAGAGGUGCCCCCAGCAACAGCAGCUUCUGAGAAAUCCUGCUUUUGUGUCCUUAAUGAGAACACAGCCUGGAAUAACUGAGUGCAAGCUCAGUUUGCAGGAAGCAUUUCAGACCAACAUCCAUUGCCUGAGGAGGUUUCCAGGGGCCAAGCAGAGGCAAUCAGCAAUGUAAACAAUUCAAGGUAAAAAAAGGAGCCAUAAACACAGAGCCAUAAAUAGAGCCUGUGCAGGUCCAUGCUGUACUGGUCUGUGAAGGUAUGCUCUUUCUCUUUCAAACAGUGGUGCCUGGGGUUGUCAGGCAGUGGUUGGGUCCUUCACCCUCAGCCUCUUACUGUGCUUAUUUUGCCUUCCAGCUCCUCCUCUUAACAUCUCCGGUCUAUUUCAAAUACUGUACUCAGAGCCUUCCUGUUGGCAAAGGGGAACAUACUGCACAUAUGGAUUAAAUAAUUUAUUGUUAAUCUAAGGCUUUCAACAGUCUAAUAGUAAAAAUUACCAAAUUCAUACAGGAAGAGGUCAUAAAAUAGAGUUAAAAUUGUUAGACAAAAUUUCCCUUUUCUCUAGUGUUGUGCUUCCUCCUCUUAAGACCCCUUCCUGCCUUUGGGUCUUAAGAUUGAUGUUUUGGUAUUUCUUAAAAGGAAUGGGGGAGUAUGGUGAGUCAUCACCAGGAGGAGCAUGAUAUUCAGGGGUCCGGGGGAUGUCUUGUUUCCUCAGUCUGGUGUAUUCUUGUAUCUUAUGUAUUUUCUUAACACUAGAAGCUCACUGUGAUUGAAUGACUGUGAUCUGCAUCCUCUGUGUUGGCACUCUUGUUUCCAUGACUUGCUGUAGAGCCAUAGGCAGUUUACUCCGCAAGGAAAAGCCACUUGUUUUUACUAUAAACCAAAGUUAAAUUGAAACAAAUCAAGUUGCCUGUGCCUCACAGCUACGUGCAGCCAAAAGAAGUUAAAAUCUACUUAGGCCAUGGCAGAAUUGCUGAGGCCCUGUACAUGUCAAUGUAAAGCAGGUUGCUGUUUACCUAACAUGGCAAAAUCAGGUUUUCUAGGCUAGAAAGUCUCCUUGGAUGGUGCGUGAAUUGCAGAGCUGAGCAAUGAUUUGUAAGCCCUCUUAUGACUGCAGAAUUGCAACUGACGAGCAGAUCUUGGGAAUACUCGCAGUUUCGUGUCUGCUCCUUUAUCACAGAAAUCCAUACAGGACUAACUGACCUGUAUUGUCUCAUAGCCAUUGGGAGGCCAGAUUACAAAAGAUGCAUUAGAUUUUCAUUGCCUGCAUUAUUUGCACAGUCAGCAGAAAUACUGUGAUUAUUAAGAUAAGAGCUGUAGGUUUUGGAGCUAGAUUAAAAAUUCCUUUAGCUGUUGGAGACUGUAAUGCAGUAAUGCUACAUUGUGACAGAAAGUACAGCAGUACUAGCAGAGUAGCACAAUUCUAGGAUGCAGCAAAUGAGAAAGUGCUCAAAUGUAGCAGCCGUGGAUCCAGAAUUAAAGGAAGAAAAUAAAUGACCUCUAGUAGGCGGGGAUCUCCAACAAGAUACCUGUGCCUCCACUGCCAACCCUUAGAUGAGGUCUGGGAAGGAGUGGAUUUCUUCUGGUCACUCAGGUACAUUGCAUGCACCUAAGCUGCCCUGGGUUGGCCCUGCCUUCCCACCCGAUGCUUAAUCGCUGGUUCAAGCCCUGACUUCGCAUUUCUGCUACAGAGAAUCAUAGAAUCAUAGAAUAGCCUGGGCUGAAAAGGGCAACCAUGAUCAUCCAGUUUCAACCUCUCUGCUAUGUGCAGGGUCACCAACCACUAGACCAGGCUGCCCAAAGCCACAUCCAGCCUGGCCUUGAAUGCCUUUAGGGAUGGGGAGAGACCAUAGUAUAAUCUAUGAGGUUAUAGGAUAAUUAAAAUCAUACAUUUCAAUCUAAGAUAGAAACUUCACAUACCACACACACAGAGGAAUGUUUGUGAGGUAGUCCACAAUUUCUGGAAACACAGCUAGAUCCCACAUAUAUGAUUAUAGAUUGCUUAGAAACAUAAGGAGAAAUUCCACAAUCAUAUAUAGUUAACUUUCAAGCUAAGUGAUCAUGUGAAGACUGGAAACUAAUAUCUUCACAUACACAUUGCAUAUUUUAAUAUUAUUUUCUGGCAUUCCUUUGAAAGCCUCCCUGGAAUAGUCCAUUUUCUGUGAUCAUUUGUAUUCACAGAUGCACAUUUUUAUUACAAGAAACACUCAUUUUAUAUAUCUCCAAAAUUAUAUGAUCAACUUCUUGGUGACAAAAAGACCUUUUCCAGCCACUUGGUACAUGAUUAUGUAGCUUAUGUAUAUGUAGUGGUUCCAUCAUGUGCUAAAUUCAGGAUGUUUUAAAAGAUUUCAAAUACAGUAUUACACAAAUUCUGAGUUUAUUUAAAACUGAUUUUUCCAUGACAAAAAUGUUUAUACCUUGUUGAACCAUCAUUGCUUUUAUGUUCUUUAAAUACCUGCCCUUGUGCACCUCUGAGAAAAAUCUGGCUCUGACUCCUCUAUAGCUUCAUAUGAAGUAUUUUUAGUCUGCAAUAAAUCCCUGCCAUCCCCUUGGCCUUUUCAGGGCUGAGGAAUCGCAGCUCCCUCAGCCUCUCCUGGCGCGCUGCCUGCUGCAGCCUGCGCUGCUCUUAGUGCCGUAUGGCAGUGUCUGUCUCAUACUGUAGGAGAUACCAUAAUUAAAUUCGUAAUUUUCAUUUAUGGCUUCUACUUUUGUUCACAUACUUCUUGACAGUGGAAUGCUUUUAACUUGUUCUGCAGCUGUACUCUCUUCUCAAGUGUUAUGCUGUGUCAGUUUGGUUGGAUGUGCUCCUGUUUCAGCUUUAAGUUUCCCUUCUGCAAAGUCCAAAUUUCUGCUUGCUCUGCCUGUUCUACAUUUACCUCUCUUGCUGCUAACCAGCCCAUGCUUCAGCACAUUAUAGGCUUGCCAAGAGAAGAAUUUAGACUUUGUUUUCUUCUAAUUUUAGAAAAGGUUGCUUUGUUGCCUGGAUAGUUCUGCAAGAAGCUGGAUCCCAAUGGUGUGUUCAUCACUGGCUGUAGAUUAGACAAGUUUACAGAGGAGAGCAUUUCCAAAGAAGAUCUGAAGAUUAGAAGAGCAGCAGAGCUCGUCUGAGUUUGCACAAGUCUGGCAGCUUCUGGCUCUUCAGCGUGCAGACAUGGAAGGUGCCUGAGUUUCCCCUGCAGCCAGUGAGAACAGAGGAUAGUCAUAUUUGGCAGAAACUAUUCACCCUUUUGCAGGAUUUGGCUCUUGAAGAACCCCACACUAUUAUGAAAAUCUUUUUCUCUCUUCUCCCCAUUUCCAAUUCAGGAACUUAAAAUGAUUGCAUUAGAAUUAGAAACAUUACAAAGAAAUCAGUCUAAAAAUCAUUCUAGCAAAGGCAGUGAAGGUGCAAUUGCAGGUGUCAUGGAAUUUAGCAUGAACGAUGGUGUUUCCAAAUUCGUUUCUGAAAUGUUUGAAAAGACUGUGUAAAGAGGGGAAGCAAGCAAGCCAGCAGGCAGUGUUUUUCCCCUCUGUGGUUUUUGUGGACUAAGAAUAGAGGGGACAUGUAGCAAGCAUCUUGCUAUUAAAUUUGCCUAUGACAAACAGUGCAGCUGCACAUAGUGUGCAAAAACAUCUGUAGACUCAUGACACAUGCAGAAUCCCCCACACUAAGAACGUGACAUUAUACUGAAAACAAUUCUGUUGUAAAAGCAAUAUAAAUCCAUUUUAUGUAGACUUUCUCCACCUUCUCCUCCCCUUCUCUUUUAAAUUAUGUUAACUGAAGAAUUCUGUCACUCCUACAUGACAUUAGUAAAAAUCACAAUGUAAAAGUGACUAAACAUUUCAAAAUUGUCCCUUUUUUCAUUAGCAGCUAGAAUGCAGGUAUGCCUUUUCUGGAGGAAAAGAAAGUUUAAGAAAGAAUAACCAGCAGCAGAAAUACAUUAGACACCAGAUCCUACUCGAAGUGGAUCUUGACAGGGUUUGGCAGCUGCAAUUUAACUCUUCAGAAAUCAAGGGGUGAUUUCCUGUGUCUCUUGUGCAGUUGUUCAGUUCUAAGUGAGCAGUGGGAUUGCUUUACUUUGCUGAUAUAAAUGCUUGCACAAAAUGCAGCAGUAGGGAAAAAUAUGUCUAAAAUGUGUAGGUUUCUAAGAUAAAGGGAAAUUCCCUACCUGGGAUUUUUUUGAGUUCCCAUAGCUUCUCCUACAAAUAAUGAAUGCAGUUAUUGUUGAAUUCUAUAGAAGCUUGACUAAGCUUCACACCGCCCUAAUGACUCAUAGAAUGGCUUAGGUUGGUAGGGACCUUAAAGAUCACCUAGGUCCAAACCCUUCCCUCUCCAAUACUUUCUUUGCAAUCUUUAGACUUACUAAAGUAAAAAACCUUAAAAUGUCAACACAAACACUAGUUUUUGUUGCAAGCCCGAUGUUGUCUAAAAGUUUUGCGAUUGUAGCAUCAUCAGAAGGCAGACCUAUGCAUGCUGUUAGUAUCUGGAUCAUCGUUAACUUGUCUCUUUGGAAACACCUCACUUACAGUAAGAACAGUUCAUAAUAACUACCUGAACCUCCAAGAACAUUUCCCUAUGCUUUAUGUAGACUGCAAAGUGAGCCUGGAGCUGGAGGAGUCAUCCAGCUGGGUCGUAAUUUUCAGCUCUCUGCUCAUUAAAUUCCUGCAACCUAACGGCAAAACCAUAAGCCUUGAGAGAGAGAUUGCCAUCAUGUUAUUGAUAGCAUACAUUUUGAGCAUACUGACUUUCUGUAUUCUUUGGUUGAGUACUUGGAACUCAGUUUCCUUUCCUAGGUGAAGAAAGGCUUGUUUUUCUAUUUCAGAGAGAUACAGAGCACAAAUGAGAAUGUUUCUAAAGCACUCUGAAGAUGGAAAAGGUAUGCAAGUAUAACUGAUGUCACCUGACAACAUUUGUUUACCGGUAGGGGCAUAUUUAUCUCUUAGUUAAAUUAGAUUUGAUUCCUUAUUUAAUAAUGCAAUGAUUUUUAACGUUCGCUUCCUGGUUUGCAUGUUCAGCAACUGUUUAUACAAGAUACAUGAUGAUGUACAUCACCAUAGAAGGAAGGAACAUCGCACCUCCUGUAAAUCAGGAGUUGGGAAAUGCCCUCUUUUUAUGCCCUGUUUUGUGUCCCCACCUUUCAUGCAGAAAAGAAAUACACGUUCAGUAGUGAGUUGUGACUGCAGUCAGUUAUGGCCUCUCCAUGCUGGCAAUGACUGCCUGUUGUCUACCCUGUGUGCCUGAACAUCACUGCUGUAGUCCUUCUUUUUUCGAUGCCCAUGCAUUAGUUGGUCUCUGAGGUAUAUGACACAGUGGUUGCAAACAGCUCAAUAUAGUAAUGAACUCUGGCUAAUAAUGAAAGCAGCGAUAAAGUUUUUAAAAAAUUAGCACUCUAAGGAACCGUGGGAAAAUGUAACAAAGCUAUUCUUAUACAAUGUAUAAAGCAGAGCGCUUCAAUUCCAGUUUUUCAGCUUUUACUUUUAAAUAAAUUGAACUUUUAAAUAAAUUGAAAAGUUUUAUGAUGA